CCCUGUAUACCUGAGGCCUUCUGAAGGUAAGUGGCUUCUUUCUUUUUCUUUUCUUUUUUUUUUUUUUUCUUUUGCUUACUGCUGUUGUGUUUGUGUGAAUCCUCACUCACUGCAAUCUGAGAUCUCACUGCCCUGCUGUCAUUGUUGUGCUUUCUCUUCUGUUACAGAGGAAAUCUCCAGAAUUAUUAUGAUUUCACUGAUGACAUGUCCAAAUGAAGCUACCUCCCUUCAAGUUAGAACUCUAGACUACAGCUUCUUUGCUGCCUCUUUCUUCAGUAAUUGCUGUUUAUCUCAUAUAAUGUAAGAAGCAUAUGUUCCACAGGUCUGAUGUGUAUUCUAUCACUGCUGGCAUCCUCUGCUUCUACUGAAAUCAUGAAACUACUCUUGCUUCCUUGAUCCACCCAGCGUAGAGUGAUGCAACAGUCAUGAUUCUUCAAAGCAUGAAUGUAUAGAAAUUUGUUGCUAAGAAGUUUGAGUCAGAUUAUACUUACCUGUCUGUCAUCUUUGUGACUAAUGUAAUAUACAAGUUCUAAUAGAGACACAGCAGAGUUAGCUCAGAUACUAUGACAUGAAGAAGGGACAGCUAAGAAAUAGAUGCAAUUGCUGUAUGGAUAUGUCAUAGGGGAACUUAGGGUGGUGCAACAAUAAGAACAGACAUAUAAUCUGAAACUUAUUUGCUAAGCAGAAUGCGUUUAGUGGAAAGAGAGCAAUGUGUUACUCUGCAAUCUUCCUAUUCCAUGGCACUCAAACACUUCACACUCAGACGCAAUUUACCAAGGUUCACAUUUCUACAGCUCAUUUGAGAUAGCCAGUGUACUGUUCAAAUAUUUAAUGCUUAAAAUAUUUAAGACUGAUGUUCAAAAGGAUUAAAUAGAGUUGUGACAGCAAGUGCAUGAAAAGCCAAACAAGAUCUUAAGUAGUCUAUAACUUAAUGGCACACUGCAUCUGAGGACAGCUUUCUCUAGCUGUUCCAGUGGUGAGGCAUUAGAACAGUUACCAUCCUCAUUAAACCCUUAGAGACAACCAAGGUGAGGGUGGACCAGGCUCUGAGCAACAUGAUCUAACUGUAGAUGUUCUUAUUCAUUGCAAAGAAGCUGGACUAGAUGACAUUCAGUGAACCCUUCCAACUCAAAUGAUUCUGUGAUUCUAUGUUUGAGUUCUGGCUGCUAUUCUGGCCUCUAAACAUAACCCAUGCUGGAGUUCAUCCACAAAACCAUGUUCUCCAUAAUCCCAAGAAACACAGACUUAAAAUAGUAUUUAUUUUAAGAUUAGAUUGUGAGUAUGAACCACCAAUGCUAGUUACAUGUCCCCAGGCCAAUUUAUUUUACUUUCCACAUUUCUAAAACCAGCUAGUGCUUAUUUUUCAAGUUACUAUCACCUGGUUUUCCAUCCCAAAUGUUCUGCAAAGAUAUAAAGUUUCUAGGCAUUCUAGCAUUCAAAGAAAAAAUUGAAUUUAGACAGACAGGAAAUCACAGAAAAUAUAUGUUUGGUCUGAGUAUACUGAAAUCAAAUUUCUUAAUUGAUGUUUCUUAUUUUACACCUUGAGCUUGCUUAAAUGUUUUGCAAGUACAGUGGUAAGACCCUCUUACUGUAUUUUAUAGUCACACAUUAAAUAGUCCCAUCUGCCUGAAGCAAUAUCUACUACAGGAAUAAAGUGAUUAUCCAUUGUUGCCUGAUUUUCAAUUCCUCCAAAUGUAAUGAAUUUAAAUACAUUAUACUUGGUGUAAAAUAUCACCAUAACAUUAAGUAACUGUCAUUUAAAUAUGUUCAUGUAGUAUCUACAAUUCAAACUAAUAUGUUUUGUGAUAUGAAAUCUGGUCACUUAAUGUAGCAUGAAAAAGCAAUUUGAAAUAAAAUGAGAAAAAAUAUAUUAAAAUAUGGCUUUUAAAGUGACCUGAAGGUGCAGAGGACUGUCAGUGAAUGAGAACAUAUUACCUACAGGUCUAAAAGUUAUUUCACAUUGUGCAUACAUAGUGGUGAUAAGCUUAAACGGCAGACAAAAUUAACAUUAUAUAAAUAUAUGUUAAAAAAAAUAGACAAUUUUAAAUUUAAGCUUACAAUACUGAGAAGUUUAGAUUUUGUGAAACAGCAUGAAAUGAAUUUUCACUUAGCUACCUGACAUUUUUUUGAGAGUGGUUGUUUUCAGGUGUUCGAUUUCAUGAUCAUUCCAGAGGCCAGUUUGAAAAUCCAAGUACCUUCUAUUUUUGAUAUUAUUUGUUGUGCUUGUUUUUCUUUUGGCAUGUUACUUCCUAGUAAAGAAAUGUAACUAA